rnacentral:rRNA from 1 species
UACGGAAGGUCCGGGCGUUAUCCGGAUUUAUUGGGUUUAAAGGGAGCGUAGGCCGGGGAUUAAGUGUGUUGUGAAAUGUAGGCGCCCAACGUCUGACUUGCGGCGCAUACUGGUUCCCUUGAGUACGCGCAACGCCGGCGGAAUUCGUCGUGUAGCGGUGAAAUGCUUAGAUAUGACGAAGAACCCCGAUUGCGAAGGCAGCCGGCGGGAGCGCAACUGACGCUGAAGCUCGAAGGUGCGGGUAUCGAACAGG